AGUCCAGUCCACCAGUGUUCUCUAUUAGGCAGAGCAUCUGCUAGCUGGCGGGCAUUUUUAAUAAGAGGCAGUUCGUUCCUCCAGCGCUGCGCUGCCAGUGCGCAAACACUACGGCCACAAGCCUGUGGCACACCCCCUCCUGCCACCAGCCCCGCAUACGCAGUUACAAAAACAAAACGCUUAGCAAAAGAAAGGCUCUCCCUCUCUCGCACAGGCACUAAUAAGAAUCGCAUGCAAACGUCGUACAAUAUCUACAUCUACCGACGUCGUACUUUCACUUUAUUUAGGACAUUUGUGUGUCAGUUGAAGUCUAACAGGUCUUGAACAAGACUAAUACCGAGCAGACGUUAGAUAACACGGUAAACGCAAACACCAAUGCCAGUCUAGUCCAGCUAACCUCACCGCAACCAACAUUUUUCGAUAGAUAAAAGGUAGCCUAAUUUAUGAGCGUGCAACAGCUUCUUCUAUUUUAGACAAUCCGAUAUCAAAUUCAGCUCAUUAUGGUUGUUAUCAGUUAUAACGUUAACGAGCUAUAUGAACUAGCGUGAGCUUUAGAAUUGACCAAUAGCGUUAGCUAGCAAGUGGUAAAUUAGUGGUUUAAUCUCUCCAUCAGGACGUUGGACAACUUAACGUUUGUGAGACUUGACAGCGAGGACGGUGCGUAAAUACAUGAAACCGAUGCCACGGGGUCUGUUCUGAAAAGGUGGGUGCUAACUGGCUAACUUUGAUUGCGUUAGUUAGUACAGCACGGGAUAGCGAAGGUAAAUCGAAACUGUUUGUACGUGACUGGUUCUGAGCAUUCAUAUGAGCAUAUGUAGUGUGAGCAGCAGUUAACGUGACAGGUAACCGUUAGCCAACAUGCAGCUGUAGCUAACGAGCCAGGAGUAAAUCGCACCAGCAAUAUGUAAAUUAACCAAAUGCUUGUUGCCUUGACCGAUGCUUUUUUGACGUUCAGCAUUUACAGUUAACCAACUAAGAGCCAGAUAUAUUAGCCACUAGUCUAGAUAAGCUGACAAAGUCGGCCAGACUAUCCAGUUAACUAAUAGUUAGAUAACCAUGUGCUAGCUGAUCCAAAAACAGUUAACAUUAACUUAGCUAGCUAUGUUAUUAGGCUGUCUAGUUGAUCAUGAAACCAUGACAUACUUAAGCAGUUAACGUUAACGUCAUGGGAUUAGGUAGCAAGCCAAAUAAUUUUACAAACGAAUGAUUGGUUAACUGUGGAGGUAAGUCCGUUCGCUAGAUCUAAUGUGUCAGAAAUGAAAUGCGCAACAUAGCUAAGACUGAACCACGCUGUGUUGUGGGCUACGACAGUAAUCACCGUUAGCUGCCAGAGACAAGGCCCUUCCUUACCUGGACCAUCAGAGGCGGACCGGGCAGGUGAAUUGAGCUUCGGUCGCUUUGGGUUGGGAGGUCCGACAUCCAGCAAGUUCUCCGCCAUGGUAAAGGACUCUGAUUGUUACUUUAACAGCCGAAGGAAAAUCAACAAAAUCUUCCAGACAGGCUGGAGCUGGGAUCAGCCCAAAUCGAUCCGUAGGUUUUCUUUCUUGCAACCACUCCGUUAAAAGAAAAAUAAUUAGCUAGCUAGCCAGCUAGCAAGGUAAAUGCUUCAAAAAAAUAGCAACAGCGCCCCGCUCCGCCAUUCACCCCAU